UGAUAUGACUGAUGGCGACAUCUUGGAAUUUGUCAUAAACAUCGGCGCAUGUCCUCUGACGUAACGUUAGGAGGUAGUGACAAUGGAUGAUGACGUAUAACAGUGUAGUAGUGGUGUCCCAUUUCUUAGGGGAAAUUUUUUAACCCUACCCCUUUCCACUUCAUUUCAAGGGGCAAGGGGAAGGGGUGAGGGGUAGGCAAAGGGGUUUAAAAUAGAAUUGGGAUUGGGCCUUAGGGUUUGAAUUAAGGGAGGGGCUGCUGGUGUGGAACACCCAAAUAAGACACUUCUGAAACGCUUUGGUGGAAAUAUUCAUGCGCAUAAAUGGAUGAAGUGUAAAAAUGUCAACAACCAAGUCCGUCCAUUUGCAUUUUCCAGUUGAUGCUACGAUGAUUCUGUCCCUGGAUGGCUAAAGUCAAUCUAUUGCAGUUACAAAGUACUCAUCAUCAAUUACAGAAUUCAUGCAGAAGAUAAAACCAGAACAACAGAGAGUUGCUACAGUACAAAGUUCAACCAGUCUGGCUCAGUCAGCAAAACUGUAUGAGAAGUGGGAAAAGAAUGCUGCAGCACAGCCGUGCAGUUUGAAGAGUGAAUAAAGGAGAGUUCAGCCACAGACCACGCAGGAGAUACGUGGAAUGAGUCAAUGUGGCAGCGUACAGCGACCGGAACAUCUCCUCUUUAUUCGCAGGAGUCUCCUGGGACAGGAAUCCCGGUGAGGAAGACAAACAACUCGCACACACCUGGUGUUUCUCUUUCCCACGUUCAAUCCGUUUCCUUUUCAUCUUGGACAAUGCUUGCCAUCUGUCAGCACACUCAUGCGCUUUUGUGCGUGAGUAUUUAUGUGUCAGUGUUUUGUUUUUUAUUGAAAAAAAAAAAAAAACUAAAAAGUAAUGAGGACAUGAACCCAAAGUACGCAUUGAAAAUGGAGAAGGAGCGCAGAGGUGUCUGCCGGAUCAGGUAACACACGUGGAGGAGCUCGAAAGCGAAUCCUUUACCGGACAGUUUAAAUGUGAUAAUGUCAGAGCGAGAUGGGGUUACACAAUAAGCAAAGGACUGUUCAGGUCUGGCCCACGUGGACUGUGAAAAUGAUCACCAUUUUUCAAGGUACCUAAAUGACAAGCUCUGCUGCAGAAUCGCUGAGGAAGAAGUCGUCGUAAAAGCUGGGGACUGCACUGGACUCAAUAUCCACAGCUAGAAACUAUGCCGAUAUAUCUAUUCUUUGAGGAAGGGUACCAUUAAUCCCCAAUCCCUGCUGAAAGCAACAAUUUGGGAAUUAAAAAAAAUUGCUGGGACAUUGCAUUGUCUGCUAUUUUAAUGCACAUUUAAUAAUGGCAGUCUCUUGAAAGAUAAAUCUUGCAACUUUAUUUACUAGCUAGUUAGCAUCUUUGAAGUAAAAAAAUGCAUAUUUUAAGCAAAGAGAUAAACAAGUAGAGUGAGUUUGCCAGAAACUAGAGGAGCAAUUCUCUCUGCACAGUCUCAGUGCAAAUCUAGAAUUUGACAGCUAGCCAGUCAAAGUGGACGGUUGAGUCAAAUUCAGCCUUUUAUUUUAAAACUUGUACCUGCUGUGCCAUUUUAGAUGCAUAAGAAGGCAGCAAAGUUCAUGAUGUAGAGGAGCAAAAUGUAAGAGAAGUGAUCCAGGAUAGAGGCAGCAAAUGAGGGAAAAGAACAAGAAUGACGGACAGCCUGGGGGAGGAUCUAUAAGCAAACAAGAGGAGAGGAGCCAAAUGGGGCAGCUGCCAGGGCAUCUGGUGGGGCUGGGCCACCAGCCGGACCCUGUAGACCAUCAUGGGCUUCAGGUUGAAGAACUGGUACCUGUAGUUAGAAGCCUUGACGACGUCAUACUCGGCGUCAUUGAGGAAGAUGGAG